rnacentral:rRNA from 1 species
GACGAACGCUGGCGGCGUGCUUAACACAUGCAAGUCGAGCGGAAAGGCUCCUUUUUGGGGUACUCGAGCGGCGAGCGGGUGAGUAACACGUGAGUAAUCUGCCCUUCACUUCGGGAUAGCUCCGGGAAACCGGGAUUAAUACCGGAUGGGACACAUCACCGCAUGGUGUGUGUGUGGAAAGUUUUUUCGGUGGGGGAUGUGCUCGCGGCCUAUCAGCUUGUUGGUGGGGUAAUGGCCUACCAAGGCUUCGACAGGUAGCCGGCCUGAGAGGGUGACCGGUCACACUGGGACUGAGACACGGCCCAGACUCCUACGGGAGGCAGCAGUGGGGAAUAUUGGACAAUGGGCGGAAGCCUGAUCCAGCAACGCCGCGUGAGGGAUGACGGCCUUCGGGUUGUAAACCUCUUUCAGUGCCGACGAAGCCUUUUGGGGUGACGGUAGGUGCAGAAGAGGGACCGGCCAACUACGUGCCAGCCGCCGCAGUAAUAC